rnacentral:rRNA from 1 species
GAUGAACGCUGGCGGCGUGCCUAACACAUGCAAGUCGAACGGAAGGACGAUAAGAUCGUGUUACUGAUGUUGGCGACGGGCGGGUGAGUAAGGCGUGGAUCGCCUUCCUCUUUGUCUUGGGUAAUUACGGGAAGCAGUAGCUGCUAAUAGAUCAUAUUUUCAACGGGUUGGAUCAAAAGUGCUUGAGGGUUUUGAUGUUACCUCUAGCUGGAUUCGGGUUGGCUUGGUUAGUUGGUAAGGUAACGGCGGACCAACGCAACGAUGCAUAGCUGACCUGAGAGGAUGAUCGGCCACACUGGAACGGAGACACGGUCCAGACUCCUACGGGAGGCAGCAGUGGGGAAUCUUGGGCAAUGGGCGAAAGCCUGAUCGAGCCACGCCGCGUGGGUGAAGAAGGCCUUCGGGUCGUAAAACUCUUUUGUUGGGAAAGAAAAGAUGCGGAAGAAACCGUGCAUGUCCUGACGGUACCUAAACAAUAAGCACCGGCUAACUACGUG